rnacentral:rRNA from 1 species
GAUCCUGGCUUAGGAUGAACGCUAGCUACAGGCUUAACACAUGCAAGUCGAGGGGCAGCAUUGGAGUAGCAAUACUCAGAUGGCGACCGGCGCACGGGUGAGUAACACGUAUCCAACCUGCCGCUUACUCGGGGAUAGCCUUUCGAAAGAAAGAUUAAUACCCGAUGGUAUAAAGAGUUCGCAUGUUCUCUUUAUUAAAGAAUUUCGGUAAGCGAUGGGGAUGCGUUCCAUUAGAUUGUUGGCGGGGUAACGGCCCACCAAGUCUACGAUGGAUAGGGGUUCUGAGAGGAAGGUCCCCCACAUUGGAACUGAGACACGGUCCAAACUCCUACGGGAGGCAGCAGUGAGGAAUAUUGGUCAAUGGACGAGAGUCUGAACCAGCCAAAAGUAGCGUGAAGGAUGACUGCCCUAUGGGUUGUAAACUUCUUUUAUAAGGGAAUAAAGUGAGGGACGUGUCCCUUUUUGUAUGUACCUUAUGAAUAAGGAUCGGCUAACUCCGUGCCAGCCGCUGC